AAUUCGCCCUUACGGCUCAGUAACACGUAGUCAACAUGCCCAGGGGACGUGGAUAACCUCGGGAAACUGAGGAUAAACCACGAUAGGUCAUCACUUCUGGAAUGGGUAAUGACUUAAAUCUAUAUGGCCCCUGGAUUGGACUGCGGCCGAUCAGGCUGUUGGUGAGGUAAUGGCCCACCAAACCUGUAACCGGUACGGGCUCUGAGAGGAGGAGCCCGGAGAUGGGCACUGAGACAAGGGCCCAGGCCCUAUGGGGCGCAGCAGGCGCGAAACCUCUGCAAUAGGCGAAAGCUUGACAGGGUUACUCUGAGUGAUUUCCGUUAAGGAGAUCUUUUGGCACCUCUAAAAAUGGUGCAGAAUAAGGGGUGGGCAAGUCUGGUGUCAGCCGCCGCGGUAAUACCAGCACCCCGAGUGGUCGGGACGUUUAUUGGGCCUAAAGCAUCCGUAGCCGGUUCUACAAGUCUUCCGUUAAAUCCACCUGCUUAACAGAUGGGCUGCGGAAGAUACUAUAGAGCUAGGAGGCGGGAGAGGCAAGCGGUACUCGAUGGGUAGGGGUAAAAUCCGUUGAUCCAUUGAAGACCACCAGUGGCGAAGGCGGCUUGCCAGAACGCGCUCGGCGGUGAGGGAUGAAAGCUGGGGGAGCAAACCGGAUUAGAUACCCGGGUAGUCCCAGCUGUAAACGAUGCAGACUCGGUGAUGAGUUGGCUUAUUGCUAACUCAGUGCCGCAGGGAAGCCGUUAAGUUUGCCGCCUGGGGAGUACGGUCGCAAGACUGAAACUUAAAGGAAUUGGC
rnacentral:rRNA from 1 species